rnacentral:rRNA from 1 species
GACGAACCGUGCGAACGUUGUUCGGAAUCACUGGGCUUAAAGGGCGCGUAGGCGGGCUGUCAAGUCUGGGGUGAAAUCCCGCGGCUCAACCGUGGAACUGCCUUAGAUACUGACGGCCUCGAGGAAGGUAGGGGCAUGCGGAACUGUAGGUGGAGCGGUGAAAUGCGUUGAUAUCUACAGGAACUCCGGUGGCGAAAGCGGCGUGCUGGACCUUUUCUGACGCUGAGGUGCGAAAGCGUGGGGAGCAAACAGG